CACAGGGACGUAGUGUGUGUAUGUGUGUGUGUUCCUACAUCACCACAGGGUCUCUACACGGCUGUAGUGAGUGGUGUGUGUGUGGCUGUAGUGAGUGUGUGUGUUCCUACGUCACCACAGGGUCUCUAUGUGGCUGUAGUGUGUGUG